UACGUAGGUGGCGAGCGUUGUCCGGAUUUACUGGGCGUAAAGGGAGCGUAGGCGGAUUUUUAAGUGAGAUGUGAAAUACUCGGGCUCAACUUGAGUGCUGCAUUUCAAACUGGAAGUCUAGAGUGCAGGAGAGGAGAAUGGAAUUCCUAGUGUAGCGGUGAAAUGCGUAGAGAUUAGGAAGAACACCGGUGGCGAAGGCGAUUCUCUGGACUGUAACUGACGCUGAGGCUCGAAAGCGUGGGGAGCAAACAGG
rnacentral:rRNA from 1 species